GACGAACGCUGGCGGCGUGCUUAACACAUGCAAGUCGAACGGAAAGGCCCUGCUUUUGUGGGGUGCUCGAGUGGCGAACGGGUGAGUAACACGUGAGUAACCUGCCCUUGACUUUGGGAUAACUUCAGGAAACUGGGGCUACUACCGGAUAGGAGCUCCUGCUGCAUGGUGGGGGUUGGAAAGUUUCGGCGGUUGGGGAUGGACUCGCGGCUUAUCAGCUUGUUGGUGGGGUAGUGGCUUACCAAGGCUUUGACGGGUAGCCGGCCUGAGAGGGUGACCGGCGACAUUGGGACUGAGAGACGGCGCAGACUCCUACGGGAGGCAGCAGUGGGGAAUAUUGCACAAUGGGCGGAAGCCUGAUGCAGCAACGCCGCGUGCGGGAUGACGGCCUUCGGGUUGUAAACCGCUUUCGCCUGUGACGAAGCGUGAGUGACGGUAAUGGGUAAAGAAGCACCGGCUAACUACGUG
rnacentral:rRNA from 1 species